GUGCAGCAGGCGCGAAACCUCCGCAAUACACGAAAGUGUGACGGGGCCAUCCCGAGUGCCGUCCGCUGAGGACGGCUUUUCCCCAGUGUACACAGCUGGGGGAAUAAGGAGAGGGCAAGCCUGGUGUCAGCCGCCGCGGUAAUACCAGCUCUCCGAGUGGUGGGGACGCUUAUUGGGCCUAAAGCAUCCGUAGCCGGCUGGGCAAGUCCUCCGUUAAGUCCAGCGAUUCAAUCGUUGGGCUGCGGGGGAUACUGUCCAGCUUGGGGGCGGGAGAGGCCGACGGUAUUCCCGGGGUAGGGGUGAAAUCCUAUAAUCCCGGGAGGACCACCAGUGGCGAAGGCUGUCGGCUAGAACGCGCCCGACGGUGAGGGAUGAAAGCUGGGGGAGCGAACCGGAUUAGAUACCCGGGUAGU
rnacentral:rRNA from 1 species